rfam:Candidatus Accumulibacter sp. BA-91 contig000399, whole genome shotgun sequence.
CUGGGCGUUGGGUGACUGGCGCUGAAUACCGUAGAGAAGUCAGCCGAGGGCAUAGUAGGUGGCGCUUCCCACCGAAGGCC